rnacentral:antisense_RNA from 1 species
ACGAUGCUGCUAAACAUUCUGCAAUGCACAGGACAGCCUCCAACAACAAAUUAUCUGACUCAAAAAAUGAAAAGUUUGAGAAACCUUGCCAUGGGGUCUCUUUCUGUCACCCACACUAAAGUGCAGCCUGGAAGUCCUAGGCGCAUCCCACUUCAGCCUCACAACUAGCUGGGACUACAGACAUAUGCUACCACAUUUGGGUAGAAAGCAGAGAACACACAGUGGUUUGUUGCCUUUGUUCUUUGAAGCUAGCUCACACUUAACCAUAGAAACAGCAUGCAAGAUGUGGUACCUGCACUACCCUGCCCUUGAAACUGUUUGGCUUCUUACGUUCUGACCAUCUCCAAACCCACAAUAUUUGAAAACGCAGCUUUCCCUCAUGUCUGGCAUUUUUCCAUGAACUGCCAUUGUAUCUCCUUUUAUUUUUUACUAUUUUGUUUAAACCCCUCAAACCUUUCAUCAUAAUAUGCUUCCAGUGGGUUUCGGCAGCUACUCUGAGAGCCUGAGUAUAAAUCAACACCAUUGUGAUUCCUGAAGUUGCAAAGUGCUGUCACUCUUGAAAC